UGGUGACAAGAGCGGUGAGGACACACCCGGACCCAUCUCGAACCCGGCAGUUAAGCUCACCAGCGCUGAUGGUACUUGGGGGGUAGCCCCCUGGGAGAGUAGGUCGUUGCCA
rnacentral:rRNA from 1 species